rnacentral:lncRNA from 1 species
CCUUGAGUGGCUCCGGGUGGGGCUUGUGCUCUCAGAGAUGACCCCUCUGUGGUGCUACUACCCACAUCUUGAUUUCAGAGUCAUCUUCCCUCCACAUUCUCUACACUACCAUAGCUCCAUUGGUCAAAUACAAUACCGAGACGAAGGCCCUUGCAUAUGUGAACAAUCAGCUCUUUCUGAAAUUCGACAGUAGGAACCAGAGCAUUCAACACUGGGGUCUGUGGGAGACACUGGAAGGUUCCGUGGAGUGGAGAGAGUUGGUACAGAAUGUGAAGCUCUUUGGGAGGGAAUCCUUGGUGUUGCUGUGGGACAUGAAGCAGCAUAGCCAGCAGCCUGGGCCUCAUAUUUUGCAGAUGGCUCUGGGCUGUGACCUCAAGGAGAAUGGCAACUUCAAGAGCUUCUGGAAAUACAGCUACGAGGGACAGGACUACCUCACAUUCCAGCCAGCAACACUCUGCUGGAAGGCUGAUGCUCCUGAGGCCCAAAGCAUGGCACAGAGUUUGAAGAAGGAUAGAGACUUGGCCCAGCACCAUGGUGCCUUUAUCAAUGGUGACUGUCAGCACUAUCUUCAGAAGUACCCAGGA